GACUUCGUAGCUCAGUUGGUAGAGCAACUGACUCUUAAUCAGUGGGUCGAGAGUUCGAAUCUCUCCGGGGUCA
rnacentral:tRNA from 2 species